UGGUACGCUGUCGGCGCCAGUCGACCUCCAUGCAAGUGGCGGUCAGGGAACCCGGUGAGAGUCCGGGACUGACGCGCAGCGGUGUGGGUGACGGGCGGAGCCCCGAGCAAUCGGGAAAAGUCACUGGAUGGUUCGCCAUCUGGGAAGACGCUCCGCGCCGGAUGAUCCCGAGUCCGAAGACCUGCUGGCCCUUGCGACACAGA
rnacentral:ncRNA from 2 species